UCUGCUGUGAGCUCAGUCGGUUAGAGCGUGGGUCUAAUGUAAGCCCAAGGUCGCAGGUUCGACCCCUGCUGGCGGCA
rnacentral:ncRNA from 16 species